GCCUCACCGCGGCAGCGAGGUUUCAGCCCUGCCCCCUUCAUCCUCAGGCACCCCCAAUGCUAACACUUUUAACCCUCGGGCCGCAUGUUCUCGAAGUCAGAGCACCAACGCUGAGAGGCCAAGGAGCGGUGGUGAACGCCGCCACCCCUCUCAGAUCCGGGGGUGAGAUAGAGAGGUGGGUCACCUGGGAGAGGGAGAACUAGCCCCCGCUCUCGUCACCAUGGCGCCUCCACCGCCGCCGCCACGCCAGGGGCCUCCAUCGAUCUGCACUCGCCGGAUCUGUUCAAGGAGAAUCUGGCCAUUGACUGCCGGUGCUUUCCCUCCCCCGACGAUCCGCCAUGACUUGUGGUAAUUCUUCUAUCCAGCAAGCAGCUCUUCGGUUGGGAGUUGGAGCAGAAUUGGCGGAGCUACAAAGAAAAGCCUGGGCGGGCCAAUCUAAAAAAACACGAAAAAAAUUCAACCCAAGGAAAGGAUGAUGAGCUGCUGCUGAAAAGUCUUCCUCAACUUAAUCUGUAACCAUAGACGUAUUGUGGAUAUUGACUUGAAGAUUCCUCCAUGACCUCCUGGUUAUGCUUUUCUUGAGGUUAGUAUUUUGUCAUGGUCAUGUAGAAUUUUCACUGUAAUGUGAGGCUUGUACUUAGAAUUUGUAAUAGAAGUCUUAUUGUUAUUAUUUGGGAUUCAAAAUAGUCUCUUAACUAUGUGUAUAAUUUUUGGGUUGAUAUAACUAAUGAUCUUUUUAGUCCGAGGAUCCUUGUGAUGCCGAUGAUUUAAUUUAUGGUCGUGAUGGGUAUGACUUUGAUGGCUACGGGCUGCGGGUAUGCAUGUAGUGCAUGUUGCCUUUUUUUUGCUGAAAGCAAAGACUGAUUUCUGGUGCCUGUUUUUUUAAAAGGUAUUUCUCAGGUGGAAUUCACAUAUCAUGGUAUUCCUGUAUCGCGCACAUAUUGUCAUAUCAUGGUAUUCUUAUCUUGCACGCAUAUCGGAUACAUAUUUGGAAGUAGCAAAAUGUACUGGUGGUAUAACUGCAUAUAUACAUGUAUUGUUCAUAUGCAUUGUAUGUUUCUCUAAUGUGUUCUUGUAAUAUAAUUGUUUUACAAGCACACAAACUGAGUUUCAGAUCUUUAUUUUAUAUAUAGGUCUUAGAUUUCAAUUAUAGGUCCUACAUUUUGAUUAAAAACACAAAUGUAGAGUUGUAGGGAUUUUUAGUUCUGGAUUAUUUACCUCUCAUGUCGUGGACUACAAAUAUUGUGGUUGGACGAGAACAUUUUUUUGUUGUAUUUUAAGUCAAUGCAGACUGUUGUAGUUUUGAUAUCAUGAUAUCUGUUUUGUAAACAACCUUCGAUAACCUAGUGUUUUUGCUUGGGUUGGAUAAAAGAUACUUCUGGCGUAUAGCAGAAAACCCUGCUUGAUCGAAUGCUCUUGAUUUGUUUUCUUUUCUGCUGAAGCCUACUAUUUUAUGUUGUGCUUGUUUCCAAAUUCCGUUUGACAUACCUUUACAGUGCGCUGAUUUCCAUAGCUGCUAAACGUUUCCUGUAAUAUACCCUUAUUAUCCUCUAGGCUUGGUAAGAUCGGAUCUCAGCCUAAUGCUAGAGCUCUCUUCAGAUGGUUUCGACAAUUGAGCCUGACUCGGGAUAUCAGUCCUGAAUCUUUAUUUUUUUCUCGUGAAAUACUUACAACUUGGCAACUUGGCACGAGCCGCUAUUGCCUUGCGCUCUUGAAGAUAGUUGGUGAUUUUUCACGUGGGGAUUUCUAACAAGCAAUGACUAUGCCAUCUUUAAAGUUUCUAUUUGUUUUCUAGAUUUGUUUGUAAUCCUCCUGCUGCUGCUGUCUCUCUAAUUUCUAGACUUAUGAGGUUGUUGUGAAUGGUCUGAUUACAAGGGAUGCUACACUGCCUUAUCAGUAUGAUGGUUUAUGAUAUGUUGGCGAGGCUGUGCAAGGUCCAUUGCAUGGCCAUCUAGCAAGAAGUUCUUGUCAACAUCCUGUUGGGAAGGAAAUGCAUAAAGAACCUAGUAUUCGGUUGUCCGCAUCAAUUGGAUGAUUUUGUAAUGGAGGACAUUCCUUGCUAUUUGGAGAUGCUGCAUCUUUAGCUUUCAUUUUGUAAAACUGGAUCUAUGUCGUGUCUUUUGACACUCAACCAACAUGUGUAAUGCACUUAAUUAUCUUUGUUUUUGUAGCAAUCUAGGUGUAGUGACUCAUUAGAACGAAUGAACUAUUUGUAUGUGUGAUGAUCUAAUGUAUGAUGCUAUCAU